rnacentral:rRNA from 1 species
CGUGCUUAACACAUGCAAGUCGAACGAACCUUCGGGUUAGUGGCGGACGGGUGAGUAACGCGUGAGAAUCUGCCCUCAGGAGGGGGACAACAGCUGGAAACGGCUGCUAAUACCCCAUAUGCCGCGAGGUGAAAUGAAUUUCGCCUGAGGAUGAGCUCGCGUCUGAUUAGCUAGUUGGUGUAGGUAAUGGCUCACCAAGGCAUCGAUCAGUAGCUGGUCUGAGAGGAUGAUCAGCCACACUGGGACUGAGACACGGCCCAGACUCCUACGGGAGGCAGCAGUGGGGAAUUUUCCGCAAUGGGCGAAAGCCUGACGGAGCAACGCCGCGUGAGGGAUGAAGGCCUCUGGGCUGUAAACCUCUUUUAUCAAGGAAGAAGAUCUGACGGUACUUGAUGAAUAAGCCACGGCUAAUUCCGUGCCAGCAGCCGCGGUAAUACGGGAGUGGCAAGCGUUAUCCGGAAUUAUUGGGCGUAAAGCGUCCGCAGGCGGCCCUUCAAGUCUGCUGUUAAAAAGUGGAGCUUAACUCCAUCAUGGCAGUGGAAACUGUUGGGCUUGAGUGUGGUANGGGCAGAGGGAAUUCCCGGUGUAGCGAUGAAAUGCGUA